rnacentral:rRNA from 1 species
CCUACGGGGGGCAGCAGUAGGGAAUAUUGCUCAAUGGGGGAAACCCUGAAGCAGCAACGCCGCGUGGAGGAUGAAGGUUUUAGGAUUGUAAACUCCUUUUGUUAGAGAAGAUUAUGACGGUAUCUGACGCAUAAUCACCGUCUAAAUCCGUGCCAGCAGCCGUGGUACUACGGCUGGUGCAAGCGUUAUUCGGAAUCACUGGGCGUAAAGCGUGCGUAGGCGGGGUAAUAAGUCAGAUGUGAAAUGCUGUAGCUUAACUACAGAACUGCAUUUGAAACUGUUACUCUUGAGGGUGGGAGAGGUAGGUGGAAUGCUUGGUGUAGGGGUAAAAUCCGUAGAGAUCAAGAGGAAUACUCAUUGCGAAGGCAACCUGCUGGAACAUUACUGACGCUGAUGCACGAAAGCGUGGGGAGCAAACAGGAUUAGAUACCCCUGUAGUC